GGUGAACGCUGGCGGCGUGCCUAACACAUGCAAGUCGAGCGGUGCAGUUUGAAGCUUCGGUGGAAAGCUGCAUAGCGGCGGACGGGUGAGGAAAACGUAGGAACGUGCCCCUUGGAGUUGGAUAGCCACGGGAAACUGUGGGUAAACCGACAUAGACUCGAGAGAGUAAAGGCCGAAAGGCGCCAAGGGAGCGGCCUGCGGCCCAUCAGGUAGUUGGUAGUGUAAAGGACUACCAAGCCGACGACGGGUAGCCGGUCUGAGAGGAUGGCCGGCCACAAGGGCACUGAGAGACGGGCCCUACUCCUACGGGAGGCAGCAGUGGGGGAUUUUGGACAAUGGGCGAAAGCCUGAUCCAGCGACGCCGCGUGGAGGACGAAGCCCUUCGGGGUGUAAACUUCUUUUGCAGCGGAAUAAAGUAUUCCACGUGAUGGGAUAUUGCAAGUACGCUGCGAAUAAGGAUCGGCUAACUCCGUG
rnacentral:rRNA from 1 species